UGCAAACAAGGAUAAAGUAAGUAAAACACUCAUUGUUGUUUUUCUUUACCAGUCAUAAUUCAUAUAUUAUUUGAUAUUGAAGGUGUUUAAUCAUUUGAGAAUAUCUGAAAUAUUUUUUAAACAUAAUACGUAUUUCUAAAAUUUCCAGACUUUUCUCAGACUACAAUGUCAAUGUCUGACAACAUCAAGAAACAAUCUGGGAUGGAGAAUGAGGCGAAGAAAAAGGAAAAUUCCAGCCUUGACCAGCUUGAAACUGAGAUCAGUAAACUCAGCAUAAAGGACUCACCUGACAGAAAAGAUAUCAGAGUCAAAUUUUUGAUCAAUGUUGCAGUGGGAGUGACACCUGAAAUGAGCACAAAUGCUGAAUCACAUUGUCAGAAGUUUCUUGAUCUUCUGAAAAGUCAAGCCUUCACGGAAGAGGACGGGUUACGUUAUGAGGACAUUGCUGUCGUUUUUUGCCUUAAUGGAAAAGAAUCAGAUGAAGAAAUUAUAAAAACUGAGUUGGGAAAAACUGUUGAAAGUGAAAUCACUUUUAAAAAAUGGGGCUUUAAAUGGCCAGAAAAUAUGGAAAUCCCAUAUCGACUUAUAAGAGAGGAAAAUAAACAAUCUAAGCACACCAAGGAAUUUGUAAGAAAUUUCAGGGAGAACAACCCUGAUGUUCCAAUCUACUUCUGCUUUUUUGAUGCAGACACAGUUGAUUUUAAUGAGGUGUUGAGUUCUUACAUAGAUGUAAUCAGUGAGCACAACUACCCAACAGUGAUGUCAACUGGUUUUCUGUUCCCUGAAGACAGUAAGUUCAGAAUACAGAGUGACCAUGACCGAGAAGUGCGCAUAAUAACAGCUGAGCACUUUCCUCUGGGCACUUACUACCCAGAGCCUAACUUCUGUGUGCUUCUACCUGAUGGACGUGACACUCUUCCUGAGUGUUUUAAUGAUGCAGAAGAGACACAAAUGAACAUGGAAUCUCCUGUUUUGAUAAGACAAGUAAAACAACGCAAGGGUUUCUCUGCUGUGUUUGCAAAAAAAAAAACAAUUAUUACACGUGAUUCAAGACAAAAACAUAGUCAUACCAAACCACGGACCUGGGCAAUUAGCGCUUAUACACACAGAGAGCUUAUAAUCACUAGUAGGUGUAAAGAAGAAUAUAUAAGAGACAGGACUAAUGCAUGUGGUAUAUAUUACUUUGCUAUAUCUUUGUUAGGGACUCUUUUAAAGUCAGAAAAGAGGGCACAAGAGAUAGAAAUGGGUGAAUAUUUUGCAGGUGAUGGUGCAGAUAAAGUAAUUCAGGCAGCUAAAGCUGUUCGAGGAUAUCUAAGCCAAAUAAAUGCAGAACAGAAUGAUGCCAGAGGUUUGGAAGAUCCACGAGAGCAAGAAGAGACAGAAGAGCAAGAAGAGCAAGAAGAGUCAGAAGAGCUAGAAGAUCCAGAAGAGCAAGAAGAGUCAGAAGAGCAAGAAGAGACAGAAGAGCAAGAAGAGACAGAAGAGUCAGAAGAACUAGAAGAGACAGAAGAGCUAGAAGAUCCAGAAGAGUCAGAAGAGCUAGAAGAGACAGAAGAGCAAGAAGAGACAGAAGAGUCAGAAGAACUAGAAGAGACAGAAGAGCUAGAAGAGCUAUCCUAGGUACUAUCAAAAGUCCAGCAUUUUGUGACCUUAGGGAGCGUGAUGGGUUGUAGCGUGGUAGAAGACUAGUUAGGUACGCAGGAGCUAAGCCAUUAAGGGCCUUAUAAGUAUGUAAUAAUAUUUUGUAACUGAUACGGAACUGAACAGGUAGCUGGUGCAGAGACUGUAAAAUUGGGGUAAUAUGAUCAUAUUUUCUUGACCUGGUAAGGACUCUAGCCACUGCAUUUUGGACUACCUGUAGCUUGUUUAUUGAGGAUGCAGGACAACCACCUAGCAGUGCAUUACAAUAGUCCAGUCUAGAGGUCAUGAAUGCAUGAACUAUCUUUUCUGCAUCAGAAACAGGUAACAUGUUUAGUAGCUUGGGAAUGUUUCUAAGAUGGAAGAAUGGUGUUUUUGUAACAUGGGAAAUAUGAUUUUCAAAAGACAAGUUACUGUCUAAUAUAACACCCAGAUUUUUGACAGUAGAGGAAGUAACAGUACAUCCGUCUAAUUGCAAAUUGUAAUCUACGAGAUUCUGUGUAAUGUUUUUUGGUCCAGUAAGUAAUAUCUCUGUCUUAUCUGAAUUUAAUAGGAGAAAAUUAUUGGUCAUCCAAUCUUUUACAUUUUUAACACACUCUGUUAGCUUAGAUAAUUUAGAAGUUUCACCUGGUCUUGUUGAGAUAUAUAGUUGAGUAUCAUCAGCAUAACAGUGGAAACUAAUCCUGUAUUUUCUAAUGAUAUUACCAAGGGGCAACAUGUUUAUUGAAAAUAGCAGAGGACCUAGGACAGAUCCUUGUGGCACUCCAUAUUUUACGGGUGAUAAAUGAGAUGACUCCCCAUUUAGAUAAACAAAGUGGUAGCGAUCGGACAGGUAGGAUCUAAACCAUCUUAAAGCCUGCCCUUGGAUACCUGUAUAGUUUUGUAAUCUAUCUAUGAGUAUGUCGUGAUCUAUGGUGUCAAACGCAGCACUAAGAUCAAGUAAAACUAGCAAUGAGACGCAGCCUUGGUCUGAUGCAAGAAGCAAGUCAUUUGUAAUUUUAACAAAAGUGCAGNNNNNNNNNUUAAAUAAAUACCUUGGAUUGUUUUGGUUGUUUUCUAUG
ensembl:lncRNA